rnacentral:rRNA from 1 species
UACGUAGGGUGCGAGCGUUGUCCGGAAUUAUUGGGCGUAAAGAGCUCGUAGGCGGUGUGUCACGUCGGCCGUGAAAACCUGCAGCUUAACUGUGGGCGUGCGGUCGAUACGGGCAUCACUGGAGUUCGGCAGGGGAGACUGGAAUUCCUGGUGUAGCGGUGAAAUUCGUAGAUAUCGGGAGGAACACCAGUGGCGAAGGCGGCGAUCUGGGUAGAUACUGACGCUGAGGUGCGAAAGCGUGGGGAGCAAACAGG